GAUGAACGCUGGCGGCAUGCCAAACACAUGCAAGUCGAACGGCAGCACAGUAAAGGCUUCGGUCUUUAUGGGUGGCGAGUGGCGGACGGGUGAGUAACGCGUAGGAAUCUGUCCUGGAGAGUGGGAUAACCCGAGGAAACUCGGGCUAAUACCGCAUGAUAUCGAGAGAUCAAAGGCAGGGGACCCUUCGGGGCCUUGCGCUCUAGGUUGAGCCUACGCGGGAUUAGCUAGUUGGUGGGGUAAAGGCCUAACAAGGCGACGAUCCGUAGCUGGGCUGAGAGGAUGACCAGCCACACUGGGACUGGGACACGGCCCAGACUCCUACGGGAGGCAGCAGUGGGGAAUCUUGGACAAUGGGGGAAACCCUGAUGCAGCAACGCCGCGUGAGUGAUGACGGCCUUCGGGUUGUAAAUCGCUGUCAGAGGGGAGGAAAUAUCGGGGGGUUCUCCCUCCGGUUUGACCUAGCCUCAGAGGAAGGACGGGCUAAGUUCGUGCCAGCCGCCGCCGUAA
rnacentral:rRNA from 1 species